GACGAACGCUGGCGGCGUGCUUAACACAUGCAAGUCGAACGCUGAAGCUCAGCUUGCUGGGUGGCUGAGUGGCGAACGGGUGAGUAACACGUGAGUAACCUGCCCUCUUCUUUGGGAUAACGCCCGGAAACGGGUGCUAAUACUGGAUAUUCACUGAUUCUCGCAUGGGGGUUGGUGGAAAGGUUUUUUCUGGUGGGGGAUGGGCUCGCGGCCUAUCAGCUUGUUGGUGGGGUGAUGGCCUACCAAGGCUUUGACGGGUAGCCGGCCUGCGAGGGUGACCGGGUAGGUUGGGAGGGAGAACCGGACCAGACCCCUACGGGAGGCAGCAGUGGGGAGUAUUGCACGAUGGGCGAAAGCCUGAGGCAGAGACGCGGCGUGAGGGAUGGAGGCCUUGGGGUUGUAAACCUCUUUCGCUAAUGGUCAAGCCGCAGCUUUGGGUUGUGGUGAGGGUAGUGGGUAAAGAAGCGCCGGCUAACUACGUG
rnacentral:rRNA from 1 species